UACAGAGGGUGCGAGCGUUAAUCGGAAUUACUGGGCGUAAAGCGCGCGUAGGCGGACGGGCAAGUUUGAUGUGAAAGCCCCGGGCUCAACCUGGGAACUGCGUUGAAAACUGCCCGCCUAGAGUUUGGCAGAGGGCCGUGGAAUUUCCGGUGUAGCGGUGAAAUGCGUAGAGAUCGGAAAGAACACCAGUGGCGAAGGCGGCGGCCUGGGCCAAAACUGACGCUGAGGCGCGAAAGCGUGGGGAGCAAACAGG
rnacentral:rRNA from 1 species